rnacentral:rRNA from 1 species
ACGCUCGACACCUACGGGAGGAGCAGUGGGGAAUAUUGCACAAUGGGGGGAACCCUGAUGCAGCGACGCCGCGUGAGGGAAGAAGGUUUUCGGAUUGUAAACCUCUGUCUUGUGGGACGAUAAUGACGGUACCACAGGAGGAAGCCAUGGCUAACUACGUGCAGCAGCCGCGGUAAUCUGAGCGGGCUGGCAAGGC